UUUUAUUUGUACUCUUCUGACCCAGUGACACAGAAAAAAGUUUCAACGGCGAAAAAAUUGAUUUAUUUUGGGUUUCGCGUGGGGAGAGAGAGCGUGCGGGAUUUAGGCUUCGCAGUGUUUUUUCAUCAAGAAAUGAAAAUAGUUCCGAAACAGGCAAGGGGGCAGAUUGAGACGGGAAGAUUUUUGUGGAGCAUUUCAUCCGUGUCGAGAGUUUAGUUCUCGAACUCACGCCAAAAGAUGCUCGGUCUCUUGAAAUUAUUUGUAUGAUACAAAUGCAACUUGUAUCAUGCUAAAGUGUGAUACGAACCACUGCAUUAAAAUUAACCCGACCAGUGUAUAAUGCGUAUUUGUGGUUGGUUUGAUAGUCGAAUAUCAGGCAAGUGUAGAAUAAUCGUAUACUGUAGAGUUCUGCAAUAAAGCCAUGAAAUAAUACAUGAUCUAUGAAUAAAACGCUAUAAAACAUUA